GACGAACGCUGGCGGCGUGCUUAACACAUGCAAGUCGAGCGGUAAGGCCCUUUCGGGGGUACGACGAGCGGCGAACGGGUGAGUAACACGUGGGUGACCUGCCCUCAGCUCUGGGAUAAGCCUGGGAAACCGGGUCUAAUACCGGAUAUGACUCCAUGACGCAUGUUGUGGGGUGGAAAGCCUUGUGCGGCUGAGGAUGGGCCCGCGGCCUAUCAGCUUGUUGGUGGGGUGAUGGCCUACCAAGGCGACGACGGGUAGCCGGCCUGAGAGGGCGACCGGCCGACACUGGGACUGAGACACGGCCCAGACUCCUACGGGAGGCAGCAGUGGGGAACCUUGCGGCAAUGGGCGAAAGCCUGACGCAGCGACGCCGCGUGAGGGAUGACGGCCU
rnacentral:rRNA from 1 species